GCCUGUCGCGUACAUCCCUCGAGUGAUGUAGGAGGAAAGUCCGGGCAGCACAGGGCACUCCGCUACUUAAUGGGUAGUUGUCGGCAACGGCAAAUGCGUGCAGAAGAAAAGAACCGCCUGCCGCUAUGGCAGGUAAGGGUGAGAAGGUGGGGCAAGAGCCCACCGGUUGUACAGUGAUGUGCAAGCCGUGCACCUCGGAGGCUGAAAGUUCGCGUAAACCGGCGGUUGAGGGCGGCCCGUCCAAGCCAUCAGUGGCCCGCCGGAGGGUAGAACGAUAGAAUCUGUCGGCGACGGCAGAUCCGGAUAAAUGACAGGCGCGCCCUUGUCUGCGACUUGGGCGAACAGAACCCGGCUUAUUGUCCGGCUGC
rnacentral:RNase_P_RNA from 1 species